GCCAACUGAACAUAUACGAGAUUUUAAUGAGGAUGAAUAAUUAGCCGGCAUGGAGGAAACGGACCUUUAUUUGGUGGAGUGGCGACAAGAAGCCAAAAGACGGGUGGCCGGUCUAUGAAGCCUCCAUCAUCAAGCUAGCAGAAAUCCCACCUCUCCUUCUGGCUACAGAGCACUUACUUACCAAGCCCAUGAAAUCGAAUGCAGAUCUUCCUGAUGUGAGAUUUACAUAAAUGUAAGUAAUUUUGUUUGUCAUUGUCAUUAAUGUUGUUGCUGUUGUUGUUUUUGUGCAGUUUGCAAUCAUAUAAACCU